rnacentral:lncRNA from 1 species
ACUCUAUCAAAUAUUCUGUACUCUGCCCUUGGGUUUUUACGUCCAAGAUGCAUUAUCUUGCACUUAUCCACAUUAAAUGUCAGUUGCCACAAUUCUGACCAUUUUUCUAGUUUACCUAAAUCAUUUGCCAUUUGGCUUAUCCCUCCUGGAACAUCAACCCUGUUACAUAUCUUAGUAUCAUCAGCAAAAAGACAUACCUUACCAUCAAGACCUUCUGCAAUAUCA